rnacentral:rRNA from 1 species
GAUGAACGCUGGCUGCGUGCCUAAUACAUGCAAGUCGAGCGAAGCGGGGACGGGUGAGUAACACGUGGAUAACCUCCUAUAAGACUGGGAUAACUUCGGGAAACCGGAGCUAAACCGGAUACUUAUAGAUGGAUCCGCGCUGCAUUAGCUAGUUGGUAAGGUAACGGCUUACCAAGGCAACGAUGCAUAGCCGACCUGAGAGGGGGAUAGGCCACACGGGAACGAAGACACGGUCGAGACAACUACGGGGGGGAGGAGGAGGGAAUGUUCCGCAGUGGGAGAAAGCCUGACGGAGCAACGCCACUUGAGUGAUGAAGGUCUUCGGAACGUAAAACACUGUUAUUAUGGAAGCGGUACCUAUCAGAAAGCCACGGCUAACUACGUGCCAGCCGCCGCGGUAAUUC